rnacentral:tRNA from 1 species
GCUUCUGUUUCGCUCAGUUGGUAGAUCGCUUCACAGGAAACGAAGAGGUCCCUGGUUCGAUACCAGGACGAGGCA